rnacentral:rRNA from 1 species
CCUACGGGUGGCAGCAGUGGGGAAUAUUGCACAAUGGGGGAAACCCUGAUGCAGCAACGCCGCGUGAAGGAAGACGGUUUUCGGAUUGUAAACUUCUGUUCUUAGUGAAGAAUAAUGACGGUAGCUAAGGAGCAAGCCACGGCUAACUACGUGCCAGCAGCCGCGGUAAUACGUAGGUGGCAAGCGUUGUCCGGAAUUACUGGGUGUAAAGGGAGCGCAGGCGGGAAGCCAAGUCAGCUGUGAAAACUACGGGCUUAACUUGUAGACUGCAGUUGAAACUGGUUUUCUUGAGUGAAGUAGAGGUUGGCGGAAUUCCGAGUGUAGCGGUGAAAUGCGUAGAUAUCUGGAGGAACAUCAGUGGCGAAGGCGACUAUCUGGCACAUAACUGACGCUGAGGAGCGAAAGCGUGGGUAGCAAACAGGAUUAGAUACCCCUGUAGUC